UUUUUUCGUACAGUUCAGCAUAACUGUAAUAACUCUAUGUUCUGAAAUUUACAUGCUAAAAACACAGUUUGAUCUUUCAUAUGGAGUAAAUGGUAUUGCCUAUGUUAUUUUAAUAUUUUUCCAAAUAUAUGUACUUUACUGCAAACCUUGUCAAGAAAUAUCAGAUCAGAGUACGGAAAUCGCCGAUACUUUAUUUUGCACUGACUGGUACAACAUAAACGAUAAAAGGCUUAAAAGAUUAUUUAUAAUGGUUAUGACGAAAUGUUCCAAGCCGAUUAAAAUCUCUAUUGCUGGUGUUUAUGAUGUAAAUUUAAUGGCAUGUAUGGCUGUAGGUAUCUAUUUUUCAUAUUUACUUCAUUCAUUGUUAUUUGCAUAUAUUAAUCUAUACAUAUUUAUUAAUUUAUAAUUAUUUACAAAUCAAAUGUUAAUGGUGUUUGACAUUUCAAUUAAUAACUCUACUAUUUUUUAGGUAUUUAAGUCAAGUUUUUCUUUCUAUUCCUUCUUGAAUACAUUUGAAGCAAAAGUAAAUUAAUAUGUUUAAAUUGAUCAUAUUAAAUAGUAAAGAUUAAAUUUUCACAGCGGAUUGUCGACUAAAAAAUAAUACAUGAUGCUCACUCAGACAAUGAAAUAAAUAUCAAAUUUAUCUACAACUGCAAAUUUUUAUAUGUAUUAUCCAUAUUUUGAAGAAGAAAAAAUGUAUAUUCAAAUACUAGUAAAAUAGUAAAUAAUAAUGUUUUAUUUAAAUUGACAGGUUUAGAAACAUUAUUAAUAAUAUAUAGAGUAUAAAAUGUAUGUAUUGUGAUUAGUAAUUACUAUUAGUUUUCAUAAUAGCUCACUAAUUAUAGUUACCAACAAGGU